GUGCUUUUUUUCUUUAGAUGGCAAAAGCAUUGAUGGAAGCAUUUCCUCUGCUGCCAGAUGUUAAGUUUGACACAAGUAAGAAGGCAAUGAAAGGCGAAAGAAAAGCACUGGCUCUUCAAAUCCUUGAUGCAUCAGUGUUUGAUGACAACACCUGUUGCUCAAUGUGUGCUGGUAGCAAACCCCCUGUGUCUGGGCCCCACAUCACCGACUGGAUCCAGUGUGACGACUGUGAUCGAUGGUUCCAUGCCAUAUGCUUAAAUAUGACGAAGAAAGACUUUGAUACAACCAAGAAGGGAUGCUGGAAAUGCCCAUUGUGCAAUUAAAAGAUCCAGUGAUAUGACAGUGAUCGAUGGUUGUGGCUUGUGCUUGAACAAGAAAAAGGAAGACUUUGAUUAAACCAAGAAGGGCAGCUGGAAAUGCUCAUUGUGUUACUAAAUGGCAAAUAAUCCUCUAAUAAAUGUUGACAGUUUAUUUUGAAAAUGGUGCUGCAACUUGUUUUGUUUCGCAUGAGAUCGAUUAAAGAUUUAUCCUAUAUUAAUAUUACAGAAUUACAACAAAAACAGAAAUAAAAUUUCUGUAACUAGGAUAAAAAUGAGUGUGCCUCAUCUGUGGAGACUAGUAGAAUAGUUUAAUAUGGAUUUUGUGUCAAUGGGUCACAUGACCUGGAAGCUAUUGAACGUUAAUCAUAAAUUUACAGUAACAAAAAAUACUCAAAAAUAAUAAAUGACUAUAAAUGCAAUAAAAAUGAGUGUGCCUCAUCUGUGGAGACUAGGAGAACAGUUUAAUAUGGAUUUUGUGUCAAUGGGUCACAUGACCUGGAAGCUAUUGAACGUUAAUCAUAAAUUUACAGUA